UCUCAAGACUAAGCCAUGCAUGUCUAAGUAUAAACGCUUCUAUACUGUGAAACUGCGAAUGGCUCAUUAAAUCAGUUAUAGUUUAUUUGAUGGUUUCUUACUACUUGGAUAACCGUGGUAAUUCUAGAGCUAAUACAUGCACAAAGUCCCGACUUUAUGGAAGGGAUGUAUUUAUUAGAUCCAAAACCAAUGCGAGUCUUCGGGCUCGGUUCUUGGUGAUUCAUGAUAACUGCUCGAACCGUAUGGCCCUUGCGCCGACGGUGCUUCAUUCAAAUUUCUGCCCUAUCAACUUUCGAUGGUACGGUAGUGGCCUACCAUGGUUGCAACGGGUGACGGAGAAUUAGGGUUCGAUUCCGGAGAGGGAGCCUGAGAAACGGCUACCACAUCCAAGGAAGGCAGCAGGCGCGCAAAUUACCCAAUCCCGACUCGGGGAGGUAGUGACAAUAAAUAACAAUGCCGGGCUAUUGUAGUCUGGCAAUUGGAAUGAGUACAAUCUAAAUCCCUUAACGAGGAACAAUUGGAGGGCAAGUCUGGUGCCAGCAGCCGCGGUAAUUCCAGCUCCAAUAGCGUAUAUUAAAGUUGUUGCAGUUAAAAAGCUCGUAGUUGGAUUUCGGGGUGGCCUGCCUGGUCCACCGCAAGGUGAGUACUGGUCAGCCGCCCUUCCUCUCGAAAGCCCCGACUGCUCUUCACUGUAGUGGUCGGGUAGUUCGGGACGUUUACUUUGAAAAAAUUAGAGUGUUCAAGGCAGGCUAUCGCCUGAAUACAUUAGCAUGGAAUAAUGGAAGAGGACCUCGGUCCUAUUUUGUUGGUUUCUAGGGCCGAAGUAAUGAUUAAGAGGGACAGUUGGGGGCAUUCGUAUUUAAUUGUCAGAGGUGAAAUUCUUGGAUUUAUGAAAGACGAACUAGUGCGAAAGCAUUUGCCAAGGAUGUUUUCAUUAAUCAAGAACGAAAGUUAGGGGU
rnacentral:rRNA from 1 species